rnacentral:rRNA from 1 species
UGGCGACCGGCGCACGGGUGAGUAACACGUAUCCAACCUGCCGAUGACUCGGGGAUAGCCUUUCGAAAGAAAGAUUAAUACCCGAUGGCAUAGUUCUUCCGCAUGGUAGAACUAUUAAAGAAUUUCGGUCAUCGAUGGGGAUGCGUUCCAUUAGGUUGUUGGCGGGGUAACGGCCCACCAAGCCUUCGAUGGAUAGGGGUUCUGAGAGGAAGGUCCCCCACAUUGGGACUGAGACACGGUCCAA